rnacentral:rRNA from 1 species
UACGAAGGGUGCAAGCGUUACUCGGAAUUACUGGGCGUAAAGCGUGCGUAGGCGGUUUGUUAAGUCUGUCGUGAAAGCCCUGGGCUCAACCUGGGAAUUGCGAUGGAUACUGGCAAGCUAGAGUACGGUAGAGGAUGGUGGAAUUCCCGGUGUAGCUGUGAAAUGCGUAGAGAUCGGGAGGAACACCCGUGGCGAAGGCGGCCAUCUGGACCAGUACUGACGCUGAGGCACGAAAGCGUGGGGAGCAAACAGG